ACCUGGUUGAUCCUGCCAGUAGUCAUAUGCUUGUCUUAAAGAUUAAGCCAUGCAUGUCUAAGCAUAAGUAAGUUAAAUGCGAAGCUGCGAAUGGCUCAUUAAAUCAGUUAUAGUUUACUCGGUCGGAUACCUUUUUACUACUCGGAUAACUGUAGUAAUUCUAGAGCUAAUACGUGUGUAAGGGUCCAACCCGCAAGGGGAGGGCCAGCAUUAUCAGUUUACAAAGUACCAGCCCGCUACUUAACGGUGGCGAACUUGGUGAGUCUGGAUAAUUGUCUGAAUCGCGAGAACUCUUCGGAGCGGCGAUAGAUCGAUCAAGUUUCUGCCCUAUCAACUUGAUGGUAGUGUAUUGGACUACCAUGGUGAUAACGGGUGACGGGGAAUUAGGGUUCGGUUCCGGAGAGGGAGCCUGAGAGAUGGCUACCACUUCCAAGGAAGGCAGCAGGCGCGCAAAUUACCCAAUCUCGAUACGAGGAGGUAGUGACGAUAAAUAACAAUGCAGGUCCUACGGGGCUUGUAAUUGGAAUGAGCACAAAGUAAAUAUCUUAGCGAGGAACAAUUGGAGGACAAGUCUGGUGCCAGCACCCGCGGUAAUUCCAGCUCCAAUAGCGUAUAUUAAAGUUGUUGCAGUUAAAAAGCUCGUAGUCGGAAUCAAUGGGCUGCUAUAAAGACGUUCCAAGCGUGCAUCUUAAAGGUGUACGUCAUGGGCGUCGAGCGGCUUGUUACUUAUUGCUCAUUACUCCUGCCUCUUCCCUUAAUUGGGUGGUGGCAGGGUCUGGGCUGUUUACCUUGAAAAAAUUGGGGCGUUCAAAGCGGGUCUAUCAAAGUUUGCCAUCGAACAUGUUAGCAUGGGAUAAUAUAACAUGAUCUUACCCUAUAGCACUGGUCUGGUCGCUUGGGUGGGAUAAUGAUCGAUAGGGAUGAUGGGGGCGGUUGAUAUUCAGUGGCUAGAGGUGAAAUUCUUAGAUUCGCUGAAGAUCCACAGAAGCGAAAGCGUUCCGCUACGGCAUGCCCUUUGAUCAAGAACGAAAGUUAGGGGAUCGAAGACGAUCAGAUACCGUCGUAGUCUUAACUAUAAACUAUGCGGACCAGGGGCUAGACCCCGUCCUCUGUACGACUCGUCUAGAACCUUUGCGAGAAAUCAUUGAGUCUUUGCGUUCUGGGGGGAGUAUGGUCGCAAGGCUGAAACUUAAAGGAAUUGACGGAAGAUCACCACCAGGAGUGGAACCUGCGGUUUAAUUUGACUCAACACGGGGAAACUCACUCGGUCAGGACAUAGUAAGGAUUGACAGAUUGAUAGCUCUUUCUUAAUUUCUAUGGGUGGUGGUGCAUGGUCGUUCUUAGUGCGUGAAGUGAUUUGUCUGGUUAAUUCCGAUAACGAACGAGACCUCAACUUGUUAACUAGCGCUAGCAAUCUUCUGUAUGGGUGAAGCCUUCCGAGUCUGGAGUGGUGGCCGUCAAAAAGCUACUGCUUGGAUCGGGGGGUGGAUCCUUGAAGAAUUCGCUAGCAACUUAUAAUCGAUGCUUCUUAAAAGGACAAUCUGUGUCUAGCAGAAGGAAGUGAGCCAAUAACAGGUCUGUGAUGCCCUUAGAUGUCCGAGGCUACACGCGCGUUACACUGAUAGAAGCAAUGAGCUUCAAACUAGCCUGGCCCGAAGGGGCUGGGGAAUCUUGCGAAACUCUAUCGUGACAGGGAUUGAUCAUCGUAAUUAUUGGUCAUGAACGAGGAAUUCCUAGUAAGCGUAAGUCACCAGCUUACGCUGAUUACGUCCCUGGUCUUUGUACACACCGCCCGUCGCUCCUACCGAUUGGAUGUUCCGGUGAGUUUAUUGGAUGCGAGGGGGUAAUUACCACCUCCCGCAAGGGGGGAGGGUUCCUUUCGAGAAAAUACGCAAACCUUAGCAUCUAGAGGAAGGAGAAGUCGUAACAAGGUCUCCGUAGGUGAACCUGCRGAAGGAUCA
rnacentral:rRNA from 1 species